GACGAACGCUGGCGGCGUGCUUAACACAUGCAAGUCGAGCGGUAAGGCCCUUUCGGGGGUACACGAGCGGCGAACGGGUGAGUAACACGUGGGUGACCUGCCCUCAGCUCUGGGAUAAGCCUGGGAAACUGGGUCUAAUACCGGAUAUGACCUCAUGACUCAUGUUGUGGGGUGGAAAGCCUUGUGCGGCUAGGGAUGGGCCCGCGGUCUAUCAGCUUGUUGGUGGGGUAAUUGCCACCAAGGCGACGACGGGUAGCCGGCCUGAGAGGGCGACCGGCCACACUGGGACUGAGACACGGCCCAGACUCCUACGGGAGGCAGCAGUGGGGAAUCUUGCGCAAUGGGCGAAAGCCUGACGCAGCGACGCCGCGUGA
rnacentral:rRNA from 1 species